rnacentral:rRNA from 1 species
UGGAAACGACUGCUAAUACCGCAUAAGCCCACGGUACCGCAUGGUACUGAGGGAAAAGGAUUUAUUCGCUUUAGGAUGGACUCGCGUCCAAUUAGCUAGUUGGUGAGGUAACGGCCCACCAAGGCGACGAUUGGUAGCCGGACUGAGAGGUUGAACAGCCACAUUGGGACUGAGACACGGCCCAGACUCCUACGGGAGGCAGCAGUGGGGGAUAUUGCACAAUGGGGGAAACCCUGAUGCAGCGACGCCGCGUGGAGGAAGAAGGUUUUCGGAUUGUAAACUCCUGUCGUUAGGGACGAUAAUGACGGUACCUAACAAGAAAGCACCGGCUAACUACGUGCCAGCAGCCGCGGUAAAACGUAGGGUGCAAGCGUUGUCCGGAAUUACUGGGUGUAAAGGGAGCGCAGGCGGGAAGACAAGUUGGAAGUGAAAACCAUGGGCUCAACCCAUGAAUUGCUUUCAAAACUGUUUUUCUUGAGUAGUGCAGAGGUAGAUGGAAUUCCCGGUGUAGCGGUGGAAUGCGUAGAUAUCGGGAGGAACACCAGUGGCGAAGGCGGUCUACUGGGCACCAACUGACGCUGAGGCUCGAAAGCAUGGGUAGCAAACAGGAUUAGAUACCCUGGU